rnacentral:lncRNA from 1 species
GACGGAGGCGUUGCGAGGGACGCGGAGGUCCUGGGCUCCCCGACCGAGGUAUAUCUCCAUGAAUAACCUAAAUGAUCCCCCAAACUGGAAUAUCCGGCCUAAUUCCAGGGCAGAUGGUGGUGAUGGAAGCAGAUGGAAUUAUGCCCUGUUGGGUCCAAAGCUGGGACUGGCUGCUUUUCGAUGUUUUGGGAACGAGAAACAAGCACAGAAAAUGGGCUAGGAAGACAGUGGAUGACACCGAUGGGCUGAUCACGGUUCCAGGAUGGUCUCGCCAUGGAGGUGACGGUCUCGCCAUGGAGGUGACAGGGUGAAUGCUGCAGUGCAGGACUGGGGGCGCCACAGGAACGGGCGCUCCAGAAAACUGACCAUCAGGCCUCCUGGGUAGCGUGAAGGAACAGACUCAGCAGAUCACGGCAUCUGGUCAGUGAGACACCAAACCCUUCACCCAUCAUGAUUGUCUGAUCAGCCACCUGCCUCCUCCUGACCAACUCCUCUUCCUCUCUCCCCCUAAUUCCUGUUUUCCUUACACAUAGUCACAUUUCUUCCCUGCUAUACAGUCAGUCAGGAAAAUGCAUUUGAGGCUGACCUCCCAUCUCCUAGCCUGCAGCUCCUGAUGCACGCCUUCUUCACUGGCAGUAACCAUCGUCUCAGUGACUGGCUUUCUGUGUGCUGAGCAGUAGGAUCUGGAACAAACCCUUGCAUUUUGGAAACAUGGAGAGCAGCCUCAGCAGGCCCCCGGCCCCGAGUGCAGUCAUGACUAUUAAGGACCCACACCAACCCCCAAAGGUGAGUGUGGACAAGAAGAAAAGGCUCCUGAGGAUCCAACCAGGAGAAUUCCUGCAAUGUCACGGAGAAUCAUGGCCACCCGGCCCAUUCCCCCAUUGAAGGGCAGCUGCAAGAUUCAGCUCAUUUGUCUUCUUUCCUGGACAUGUUCAAAUCUCUUUCAACACAACCUUGUGAUCCUGAGAUUCCAUCAAGAUGUGCAUUGUUUUACAAUAUUGCUUUAAUUUACUCUGCCAGCUAUCUGGGGAAAUGCAACCUCAUCAGCAGAAAUUAUUUCCUCCCUGCCGCUUCUGAAAUCUGUUAUUUCCUAUAGCCAGGUACUGAGCCCUUCAACUGAAGUCUAAACCCUCCACCCUCUCCCUCCGGGGUCGCCAAGCCGGUGGUUUGUUCCAUGCUCCCAGGCAGAUUGUGUCAACUCAAAGUCCAACGUGCUUAAGAAAUACUUAAUUUUAGGAGGUUUUUUUUUUAAUGUUUUUGUUUCAUGGAGGUGACACCCUCUGUCUUUGACUUGUGGGCGCCUUCCUCCUUCAGUCUGCAUGUACUGAAGCCAGUGUCUGCUGUACAGCCUCUCAGCCGCAGCCCACAGUGAGGUGCAGGUGCUCAGCCUUCGCCCCAGAGAGCGCCUCCAUUCGCCCCUCCACCCGUAGCCCCUCGAAACCACUGCCCUGCUUCCCAACACGGUAGCAAUGUCUUCUCCAAGGUGUCAUGUGGCGGCAUCCUUCGGCCUGUGCCCACCAAAACUAGCUUUCUUCACCAGGCAUGUGGCCUGGGAGACCUGGGGCAUUUUGGGUGCAUGUUUCCACUGCUGGUUGGUGCCCCCUGUGUGGAAGCAUCCGCGUUGGUUCACGCCUUCUCCUGCCGAUGGACAAUUUGUUUUCUUCCAGUUAUUGGCAAUGAGCAAUGAGGCCUAAACACUUGAGUGCAGGUUUGUGUGUGCACGUUUAAGUUUUCUCUUGGGGGAAAUUUCAGGAGUGGGGUUGCUGGAUGACGUGGUAAGGAUGUGCUUAACUCAAUAAGAAACUCCCGGACCACGUUCCAGCAUGGCGGGAUCCCUCCCAUUCCCACUGCCGCUUAUGAGGGUCCCAGUUCCUCUGCAUCGUCACUAGAAGCUGGGUUGGCCCGUGGUUUUUGUCUGUUUUUAGCCAUUUUAAUAGAUUUGCAGAGCUACUGUUGACUGGCAUUUCUCUAGCAUCUCUAUGAUGUUGAGCCUCUUUCUCGGGCAAUAUGCCCUCCUUAUACCUUCCUUGAUGAGGGCUCCAUUAAAAUAUUUGCCUUCUCUUUA